CGCGUAGGCUGUGCUGCAAGUCAGGCGUGAAAGGCCCGGGCUCAACCUGGGAACUGCGCAUGAUACUGCGGCGCUUGAAGACGGGAGAGGAUGGCGGAAUUCCCAGUGUAGAGGUGAAAUUCGUAGAUAUUGGGAAGAACACCGGUGGCGAAGGCGGCCAUCUGGCCCGUGAUUGACGCUGAGGCGCGAAAGCGUGGGGAGCAAACAGGAUUAGAUACCCUGGUAGUCCACGCCGUAAACGAUGAGUGCUAGACGUCGGGGAGCUUGCUCUUCGGUGUCGCCGCUAACGCAUUAAGCACUCCGCCUGGGGAGUACGGUCGCAAGAUUAAA
rnacentral:rRNA from 1 species